UACGGAGGGUGCAAGCGUUGUUCGGAUUUACUGGGCGUAAAGGGCGCGUAGGCGGCGCAACAAGUCACUUGUGAAAUCUCCGGGCUUAACCCGGAGCGGCCAAGUGAUACUGUCGUGCUAGAGUGCGGAAGGGGCUACUGGAAUUCUCGGUGUAGCGGUGAAAUGCGUAGAUAUCGAGAGGAACACCUGCGGCGAAGGCGGGUAGCUGGGCCGACACUGACGCUGAGGCGCGAAAGCCAGGGGAGCAAACGGG
rnacentral:rRNA from 1 species